rnacentral:rRNA from 1 species
AGAGUUUGAUCCUGGCUCAGAAUCAACGCUGGCGGCGUGCCUAACACAUGCAAGUCGAGCGAGAAAGUGGAGCAAUCCAUGAGUAAAGCGGCGCACGGGUGAGUAACACGUGACUAACCUACCUCCGAGUGGGGAAUAACCUGGGGAAACCCGGGCUAAUACCGCAUAACACCUACGGGUCAAAGGAGCAAUUCGCUUGG